rnacentral:rRNA from 1 species
GAUGAACGCUAGCGGGAGGCCUAAUACAUGCAAGUCGAGCGGUAGAGUGACUUCGGUUGCUUGAGAGCGGCGCACGGGUGAGUAACGCGUACAUGACCUACCUUCAAGACCGGGAUAGCCCUGGGAAACUGGGAUUAAUACCGGAUGUGAUAAUAGAUAUAGAGAUUUAUUAUUAAAGUUGAGGCGCUUGGAGAUGGGUGUGCGUCUGAUUAGCUAGUUGGUGAGGUAACGGCUCACCAAGGCGACGAUCAGUAGGGGGCGUGAGAGAGUGACCCCCCACACGGGUACUGAGACACGGACCCGACUCCUACGGGAGGCAGCAGUAAGGAAUAUUGGUCAAUGGGCGCAAGCCUGAACCAGCCAUCCCGCGUGCAGGAUGAAGGUCCUAUGGAUUGUAAACUGCUUUUAUCAGGGAAGAAACGCCUUCAUUUAUGAGGGUCUGACGGUACCUGAGGAAUAAGCACCGGCUAACUCCGUGCCAGCCGCCGCCGUAACAC